rnacentral:lncRNA from 1 species
GAACGCUAGUAGGCUCGUAACCAGUAGGUGUUUUUGAACUAGGUGCUUAUUAGGUAUUUUUGAACAGAGUGUGUUCACUAGUUAUCUUUGAACUGAGUGUGUUCACUACGUAUCUUUGAACUGAGUGUGUUCACUAGGUAUCUUUGAACUGAGUGUGUUCACUACGUAUCUUUGAACUGAGUGUGUUCACUAGGUAUCCUUGAACUGAGUGUGUUCACUACGUAUCUUUGAGCUGAGUAUGUUCACUAGGUAUUUUGAACUAAGCGUGUUCACUAGUUACUUUUGAACUAAGUGUUUACCAGAUGUUUUGGACUACGUGUUCACUAGUUGUAAUCUAUAACCUUUGGUAACAAUGGACUUCGUGUCGAUUCCUUAGGAUAAUCCUUAGGAAUGAAUGAACGAGAAAUAGCUGAUUCUUAGGGUAGGUCCUUAAGAGUAAAGAAGAUAAUGGGGAUGGGUAAUUGGGUUUAAUUGCUUGAUUGUUUAAACAUAAUAAUUAUAUUAUUGUGGGUUGAAAACCCUAGCCAGGUUUCCUAACCUGACCCACUCAGUUUAUUUAUAUCACAGGUGUUGAUAUAAAGUC